rnacentral:lncRNA from 1 species
UAAACGAUUGGUUCUGUUGCUGUAGUACAGCUACAGUCAUCAAAAAACGCUAAAAUAGGUGUCUAAUGAAUUUAUUGGAAGAAUCUGUAUUCCAAUUUUCAACUCUCUAACCCUCAUGGUUCCAGAGAUACAGCCAUUGGGUUCCUGGGAAAUUUUCAAUUUUUUUCCAACUUUGAAAAUUCCAUAUCUCCAUUAAUAAUUUUUUUUGGACAAAACGCUGAAAUAGGUGUCUAAUGAAUUUAUUGGAAGAAUCUAUAUUCCAAUUUUCAACCCUCUAACCCCCAUGGCUCCUGAGAUACAGCCAUUGGGUUCCUGGGAAAUUUUCAAUUUUUUUCCAACUUUGAAAAUUCCAUAUCUCCAUUAAUAAUUUUUUUUGGACAAAACGCUGAAAUAGGUGUCUAAUGAAUUUAUUGGAAGAAUCUAUAUUCCAAUUUUCAACCCUCUAACCCUCAUGGCUCCUGAGAUACAGCCAUUGGGUUCCUGGGAAAUUUUCAAUUUUUUUUCCAACUUUGAAAAUUCCAUAUCUCCAUAAUUAAUUUUUUUUUGAAAAAACGCUCAAAUAGGUGUCUAAUAAAUUUAUUAGAAGAAUCUGUAUUCCAAUUUUCAACCCUCUAACCCUCAUGGUUCCUGAGAUACAGCCAUUGGGUUCCUGAGAAAUUUUCAAUUUUUUUCCAAUUUUGAAAUUCCAUAUCUCCAUUAAUAAUUUUUUUUGGAAAAAACGCUGAAAUAGGUGUCUAAUGAAUUUAUUAGAAGAAUCUGUAUUCCAAUUUUCAACCCUCUAACCUUCAUGGUUCCUGAGAUACAGCCAUUGGGUUCCUGGGAAAUUUUCAAUUUUUUUCCAACUUUGAAAUUCCAUAUCUCCAUUAAUAAUUUUUUUUGAAAAAAACGCUGAAAUAGGUGUCUAAUGAAUUUAUUAGAAGAAUCUGUAUUCCAAUUUCCAACCCUCUAACCCUCAUGGUUCCUGAGAUACAGCCAUUGGGUUCCUGGGAAAUUUUCAAUUUUUUUCCAACUUUGAAAUUCCAUAUCUCCAUUAAUAAUUUUUUAUUUAAAAAAACGCUGAAAUAGGUGUCUAAUGAAUUCAUUAGAAGAAUCUGUAUUCCAAUUUUCAACCCUCUAACCCUCAUGGCUCCUGAGAUACAGCCAUUGGGUUCCUGGGAAAUUUUCAAUUUUUCUCCAUUUUUGAAAUUCCAUAUCUCCAUUAAUAAUUUUUUUUUGGAAAAAACGCUGAAAUAGGUGUCUAAUGAAUUUAUUAGGAGAAUCUAUAUUCCAAUUUUCAACCCUCUAACCCUCAUGGUUCCUGAGAUACAGCCAUUGGGUUCCUGAGAAAUUUUCAAUUUUUUUCCAACUUUGAAAUUCCAUAUCUCCAUUAAUAAUUUUUUAUUUAAAAAAACGCUGAAAUAGGUGUCUAAUGAAUUCAUUAGAAGAAUCUGUAUUCCAAUUUUCAACCCUCUAACCCUCAUGGUUCCUGAGAUACAGCCAUUGGGUUCCUGGGAAAUUUUCAAUUUUUCUUCAUUUUUGAAAUUCCAUAUCUCCAUUAAUAAUAUUUUUUGGAAAAAACGCUGAAAUAGGUGUCCAAUGAAUUUAUUAGAAGAAUCUGUAUUCCAAUUUUCAACCCUCUAACCCUCAUGGUUCCUGAGAUACAGCCAUUGGGUUCCUGAGGAAUUUUCAAUUUUACAAACCUUUUGGUCAAGACUUCUUGUAAGCAAAACAUAAUUUUCUGUAGAUGUAUAACAGCUACAGCCACGAAAUAAACAACCAUUCAUAGGGAAUUUAAUAGGCUUUCCAAGACUUAAAAGCCUUUUUAAC